rnacentral:lncRNA from 1 species
UGGCAAAAUCCCCUCUAGAAACUAAGAAGAUGCCCAUCAGUUGGGGAAUGGCUGAGAAACCGAAGGCAUAUGGAUGUGGUGAAACAAAAUUGAGCUUGAUAAAAUAAAAGAGAAACCUGGGAAGAUUUGCUUGUACUGAUGCUAGAUGGAGGCUGGAGAACAAUUUAUCCUGCAUCAUAAACAGUGCAAAGAGAAAUUGGAAAGACUUAAGAAUUCUGCUCAACAUAAUGAUCAGCUGGGAUUCCAGAGGAACCCAUGAUGAACACUAUAGAACAGAGCCACGAUGGACCACUUUGCAGCAUAGUAUGCAAAUUUUUGACAUGGGCCAGUAUGGGAAUUUAUUCUGCUUGACUAUGUUCAUUGGUUGCAAAGUUCUGCUUUUCUUUUCUUGUUUUUCAAGUGAUGGCAAAUCAAGAAUAACCACAGCGAGUGAACGGCUACAAAGGACAAUAUACACACACCAGCAGAAUUUAUUUUAAAAAGAAGCUGUGUCAUUCUGUACGCUUCGAAUUUGAGAAUAACUUGUAAAUGGGAAUGCUAGUUUGUUAUUAUUAAAUUUUAAACUUGAGCAAUAUGUUUAAAAGACUGGUUUCCUCUAGGGAGGAAUUUACAGAUGAGGCAUUUAUUAAUUUAGCUAUGGCAAAAUUCAGAAAAAUUGGAAGAGAGAUUGUCUCAUGAUUUGGCAGAUAUGGAUAGCGCCAUUGCCGAGUAUUUUUCUUUGAAUGUAGCUUUAAAGCUAUUUUCUUGAAAUCAUUUCCUGGAUUUAAAAAUGAAAAAUAAUUAUUAGGAAUAAUAGUCUUUAUUUCAAAUUGCUCCUUCGGAAACACCCCUCAGGUUAAGUUUUUGUUUGCCAAAUUUCCCCUGGGAAAUCUAGGUUCUGUGGAAAUAUUUAUAAGGUAUCUUAUGAUUGAAUUAGACUUCAGCUAGAACUCUCCAAUGAAAAAUUAAAUGCAUAUAAGAUACCCGUAAAGAUAAAUCCAAACUUUUCAAAGUGCCCAGUCCCACUGCGAUGCAAUGCAAAACUACUUGGAGUAUUUUGGAGAAUUGAAUUAGGAGACAGUUGC